GAUGAAGAACGUAGCGAAAUGCGAUAAGUAAUGCGAAUUGCAGAAUUUCCGUGAGUCAUCGAAUCUUUGAACGCACAUUGCGCCCAUUGGCAUUCCGAUGGGCAUGCCUGUUCGAGCGUCAUUAUCCUCCCUCAAACCCCUGGGUUUGGUGUUGGACUGUGUGGUGCCUGGCACCACUGGUCUCAAAGACAAUGACGGCGUCCGUGGGACCCUCGGUGCAACGAGCUUUUCGAAGCACGCGUCGAGUGGACAGUCUCUCCGGGCCGGUCACCUCUCCAAUUUUUCUCAGGUUGACCUCGGAUCAGGUAGGAAUACCCGCUGAACAUAAGCAUAUCAAUAAGCGGAGGA
rnacentral:misc_RNA from 1 species